CAACAACCUAUUUAAGGAGGCAACGUUGGUUUCAGCGGGUCAAUGUCUUCCGCCCUGUUUCCCGGUGGACUAUGACCCAUCCUUAAAAAGGAAUGAAGUUUUGCUAUCUGCUACCCCAUGGACGAAACUCGAAGAUAUUCUGACAAAGAAAAGAAGACAGACACAAAAGGGGACACGAGCAUAUUUUCCUGUCUGCUUUAGCAGCAGUUGCCCCCCAUGGAUUUCCCAAUGAAUCAGAAGCCGCCUCUGCACAGACCCAUAGUCCACAGCUUAAAAUAAAAGCGCACAGGACAGGCGUGUGGUAUUGAUGGAUCUGACUUGCCAGACUGGAAGCCCAAGCAAACCUGCCUGGGUCCUUGCCCGGAGCCUGUCAUCAGUCCCUGGGGCCAUUCCCAUUGGAAGCCAGCCUCCGCUGCCAUGGCAGCCUCUGAGCACCUCCAGAAGCUCCAGCACCUCCUGCUGAAUUGCUCCCGGAGGACCCAAGGCAUGAAGAACACCUGCCCUCAUAGAAAAGCUCAAGGAACUACUGCCAGUCAGCUCCAAGCUACAAAGAGCCAUUAGCUGAUAAUGACCCCU
ensembl:lncRNA